UGAACGCUGGCGGCAGGCCUAACACAUGCAAGUCGAGCGGUAACAGAUCUAGCUUGCUGGAUGCUGACGAGCGGCGGACGGGUGAGUAAUGCAUAGGAAUCUGCCCGAUAGUGGGGGAUAACCUGGGGAAACCCAGGCUAAUACCGCAUACGUCCUACGGGAGAAAGGGGGCUCCGGCUCCCGCUAUGGGAUGAGCCUAUGUCGGAUUAGCUAGUUGGUGAGGUAAUGGCUCACCAAGGCGACGAUCCGUAACUGGUCUGAGAGGAUGAUCAGUCACACUGGAACUGAGACACGGUCCAGACUCCUACGGGAGGCAGCAGUGGGGAAUAUUGGACAAUGGGCGAAAGCCUGAUCCAGCCAUGCCGCGUGUGUGAAGAAGGUCUUCGGAUUGUAAAGCACUUUCAGCGAGGAGGAAAGGGUGUAAGUUAAUACCUUACAUCUGUGACGUUACUCGCAGAAGAAGCACCGGCUAACUCC
rnacentral:rRNA from 1 species